UGGGGAAUAUUGCACAAUGGGCGCAAGCCUGAUGCAGCCAUGCCGCGUGUGUGAAGAAGGCCUUCGGGUUGUAAAGCACUUUCAGCGGGGAGGAAGGCGAUAAGGUUAAUAACCUUGUCGAUUGACGUUACCCGCAGAAGAAGCACCGGCUAACUCCGUGCCAGCAGCCGCGGUAAUACGGAGGGUGCAAGCGUUAAUCGGAAUUACUGGGCGUAAAGCGCACGCAGGCGGUCUGUCGAGUCGGAUGUGAAAUCCCCGGGCUUAACCUGGGAACUGCAUUCGAAACUGGCAGGCUAGAGUCUUGUAGAGGGGGGUAGAAUUCCAGGUGUGGCGGUGAAAUGCGUAGAGAUCUGGAGGAAUACCGGUGGCGAAGGCGGCCCCCUGGACAAAGACUGACGCUCAGGUGCGAAAGCGUGGGGAGCAAACAGG
rnacentral:rRNA from 1 species